rnacentral:lncRNA from 12 species
UGAAACUCCCCUGAGGCGCUGUCAGUGUGAGACGUCGCUGUGCCUGACAGUCCCUUGUUGUGACCACACCCAGUCCGAGGUGCUGGGCAGGGCUGUGCCUGCCCCUGCUGUCACUGACCCCCAGCAGCUGUCACUCAAACCCACUCUGUCCACGACGCCUUCCUGCCACAUCCCAGAACUGCUGUUAACAAAGAGGAGCUUCAUGCUACUGUUCCUGUCAUGAGAGAGCUGGAGAGGAGAAUGGUGUCAUCACCUGAGGGGAAACACAAAGCAGAAAGAAACGAGGAGGGGAAAUUUUGGUGCUUAUUUUUAGACUCCGUGGUGUGGCAGCAAAAUCCAUUAAAAAUAAAUCUGGAUGGGCAUUCCCUCAUGUGGCUGAGACCAGUGCAUGGAGCCCAUCUCUGGACACCAGGAACAACCUCCUGGACACCAGGAACAAACUCCUGGAUACCAGGAACAGAGCUGGACACCAGAACAACCUCCUGGACACCAGGAACAGAGCUGGACACCAGGAACAAUGUUCUGGACACCCCAUUAUUGGCAGAUGUCUGUGGGAACCAAGUGUCA